rfam:TPA: Bos taurus chromosome 6, whole genome shotgun sequence.
UCCUGGAUGGCUCAGCGGAUAAAGAAUCUGCCUGCAACACAGGAGACUCAGGUUCAAUCCCUGGGUCGGGAA